rnacentral:lncRNA from 1 species
GUUCUUGGAGCUAGAUUUAUAACUAUGCCUCUUUGUUCUGUAGGGGAAUUUGUUGCUUUUGCCAAGUACCUUAGCUUCCUGAGUACUGGUACUUCUUGGGUGAAUGGAAAUCAAGAUUUUGCAACAUCUGUGAGAGGAGAAGAAAGGGGCUGAGUAAGAGUAAGGUGAACAACCCCUUACCUUAAGGACAGUGAAGGAGAGCUGAAGAGGCCUCUUGUGGGUGUUACCUCCAUUUGCUUCUCAACACAUGGCAUUGCACAAGUUCUUGAAAAGGUGAUUCAAACUUUGCAUCAACCAAAAAAAUUGUUUUUUUCUAGUUUCCUUUGGAAAAAAUAAUCAGAUACUUAUCAACACCAAGUCUACAAUUUCUUCAUAACAAUGCUAAAUACGCACAGUGUGUGUUAUGUUCUGUGCACUGUUUUAAGCACAUUAAUCUCUUUCGUUCUCAGAACAAUCUUAUGAGGUAUGAAUGAUGCUAAAUCUUCUUUUUCCUAUUGGGAAACUGAGGCACAGGGAGGGGUUAAGUAACUUCACUAAGGCUGUAGGGCUGGGAUUUGAACCCAGGAAGCACAAUUUUAAAGUCCACAUAUUUGCUAGGAAUUGUUUUCCCUUGUAUGGAAGUUUAUGGCUAUAGCGGAACCAUUCUUUUUAUGUGACCUUUUAAAAUCAAUCUUUAAAAUUGAGCAGUUUUUUUUUUUUUUUUUUUUGCUAUUCC